UACGAAGGGGGCUAGCGUUGUUCGGAAUCACUGGGCGUAAAGGGUGCGUAGGCGGAUUCUUAAGUCAGGGGUGAAAUCCCGAGGCUCAACCUCGGAACUGCCUUUGAUACUGGGGAUCUUGAGUCCGGAAGAGGUGAGUGGAACUGCGAGUGUAGAGGUGAAAAUUCGUAGAUAUUCGCAAGAACACCGGUGGCGAAGGCGGCUCACUGGUCCGGAACUGACGCUGAGGCACGACAGCGUGGGGGAGCAAACAGG
rnacentral:rRNA from 1 species